rnacentral:rRNA from 1 species
CCGCGGGAUUAGAGUUUGAUCCUGGCUCAGAGCGAACGUUAGCGGCGCGCCUAACACAUGCAAGUCGCACGAGAAAGGGAUUCGUCCCCGGUACAGUGGCGCACGGGUGAGUAACACGUGGGUAACCUUCCCAGACGUGGUGGAUAACCUGCCGAAAGGCGGGCUAAUACAGCAUAUGACCGUUGGUUUUCGGACUGGCGGUGAAAGCAGGCCUCUAUUUAUAAGCUUGCGCGUUUGGAUGGGCCCGCGUCCCAUCAGCUAGUUGGCGAGGUAAAAGCUCACCAAGGCAAUGACGGGUAGCUGGUCUGAGAGGAUGGCCAGCCACACUGGAACUGAGACACGGUCCGGACUCCUACGGGAGGCAGCAGUGGGGAAUCUUGCGCAAUGGACGAAAGUCUGACGCAGCGACGCCGCGUGGGCGACGAAGGCCUUCGGGUUGUAAAGCCCUGUGGGGAGGGACGAACACAUUCAGGGCGAAUAGGCCUGGAUGCUGACGGUACCUCCUUAGCAAGCACCGGCUAACUCCGUGCCAGCAGCCGCGGUAAUACGGAGGGGGCAAGCGUUACUCGGAAUUAUUGGGCGUAAAGGGCGCGUAGGCGGCCGCGUGCGUCAGAGGUGAAAUCCCCCGGCUUAACCGGGGACCUGCCUCUGAUACGGCGCGGCUUGAGUCCGGGAGAGGGGAGCAGAAUUCCCAGUGUAGCGGUGAAAUGCGUAGAUAUUGGGAGGAAUACCGGUGGCGAAGGCGGCUCCCUGGACCGGUACUGACGCUGAGGCGCGAAAGCGUGGGUAGCAAACAGGAUUAGAUACCCUGGU